UGCAAGUCGAGCGAGAAAAGGGGGGCAACUCUCUGAGUACAGCGGCGCACGGGUGAGUAACACGUGGGUAAUCUGCCCUGGAGUGGGGAAUAACACCGGGAAACCGGUGCUAAUACCGCAUACGAUCACGAUGUCUGCGGAUGUUGUGAUGAAAGGAGCAAUUCGCUCCAGGAGGAGCCCGCGGCUGAUUAGCUAGUUGGUGAGGUAAUGGCUCACCAAGGCUACGAUCAGUAUCCGGUCUGAGAGGACGGUCGGACACACUGGAACUGAGACACGGUCCAGACUCCUACGGGAGGCAGCAGUGGGGAAUUUUUGGCAAUGGGGGAAACCCUGACCAAGCAACGCCGCGUGGGUGAUGAAGUCUCUUGGGACGUAAAACCCUUUCGACGGGGAAGAAACCGCAAGGUUGACGGUACCCGUAGAAGAAGCCCCGGCUAACUCCGUGCCAGCAGCCGCGGUAAUACGGGGGGGGCAAGCGUUGUUCGGAAUUACUGGGCGUAAAGGGUGCGUAGGCGGUGCGCUAAGUCGGAUGUGAAAACUCUGGGCUCAACCCAGAGCUUGCAUCCGAAACUGGCGUGCUAGAGUUCUGGAGGGGGUAGCGGAAUUCCUGGUGUAGCGGUGAAAUGCGUAGAUAUCAGGAGGAACACCGGUGGCGAAGGCGGCUACCUGGACAGAAACUGACGCUGAGGCACGAAAGCUAGGGGAGCAAACAGGAUUAGAUACCCUGGUAGUCCUAGCCCUAAACGAUGGAUACUUGGUGUGACUGGGAUUGAACCCAGUCGUGCCGAACUAACGCAUUAAGUAUCCCGCCGGGGAGUACGGUCGCAAGGCUGAACUCAAAGGAAUUGACGGGGGCCCGCACAAGCGGGAGUAUGUGGUUUAAUUCGACGCAACGCGAAAACUUACCUGGGCUCGAACGGCUAGUG
rnacentral:rRNA from 1 species